ensembl:snRNA U1 U1 spliceosomal RNA
AUACUUACCUGGUGGGGGAGAUAACAGGAUCACAAACAAUGAUUUUCCUAGGGCAAGGCUCAUCCAUUGCACUCUGGAUGGGCUGACCCUCACAAUUUCCCCAAAGUGGGACCUCAACUGCAUAAUUUGUGGUAAUGGGGGACUGUGUUUGUGCUUUCCCCUA